UUUGUACUCCGAUGCCAUUC
rnacentral:miRNA from 1 species